UACGGAGGAUCCAAGCGUUAUCCGGAUUUAUUGGGUUUAAAGGGUGCGUAGGCGGAAUUGUAAGUCAGUGGUGAAAGCCCUUCGCUUAACGAAGGAACUGCCAUUGAUACUGCAAAUCUUGAGUACAUUUGAUGAGGGCGGAAUGUGUCAUGUAGCGGUGAAAUGCUUAGAUAUGACACAGAACACCGAUUGCGAAGGCAGCUCUCAAAACUGUAACUGACGCUGAGGCACGAAAGCCAGGGGAGCGAACGGG
rnacentral:rRNA from 1 species